rnacentral:rRNA from 1 species
AAACGCUUGAAGUCAGUCACGUCUGCCAGGACUCAGCCUUGCUUCUGCUUGGUGUACUUUCUGGUUUGACGGGCCAACAUCAAUUUUGACCGUUGGAGAAAGGCUUUGGGAAUGUGGCACCCUCGGGUGUGUUAUAGCCCUUUGUCGUAUACAACGGUUGGGAUUGAGGACCGCAGCACGCCUUCAUGGCCGGGGUUCGCCCACGUACGUGCUUAGGAUGUUGGCAUAAUGGCUUUAAGCGA